CUUGUCUCGUCGGUGAACUAGAAGGAGCGUCGGAAAGGUUGGGGAGGCAUUGGCGGGGACGGUGCAGACAACGGGGUUCCGGAACCGGAGUGGAACAAUUUUUAGGCUUGCCUUGUUUUCAGUGACUGCAACUGCUGAAUUGUGUUCCUCCAAAAUAUGAAGUCCUCACAUCAGUUCCUCGGUGUUUCUGUGUUUGGAAUGAGGUCUUUAGGGUAAACCCUAAUCCAAUGUGACUGUUUGAAAGAAGAAAUUAGGACGCAGAGAAAACACUGUAAAGACACAAGGAUCAGAGGUCCAACUACAGGCCAAGGGCUUAAGUAAUCUUGCUGCUAUGCUUCUAAACUAUAGUCUGAAUCAACCUAAGUUUUAAGAAAGAAGG